AUGUAUGUAUGUGGCUGUGUGUGUUUGUCUCUGUAUGUAUGUGUCUGUAUGACAGACACAUACAUACAGAGACACACAUACAUACAGAGACAGACACAUACACACAGA